rnacentral:rRNA from 1 species
CCUACGGGAGGCAGCAGUGGGGGAUAUUGCACAAUGGGCGGAACCCUGAUGCAGCGACGCCGCGUGGGUGAAGAAGCGCCUCGGCGCGUAAAGCCCUGUCAGCAGGGAAGAAAAUGACGGUACCUGAAGAAGACGCCACGGCUAACUCCGUGCCAGCAGCCGCGGUAAUACGUAGGGGGCAAGCGUUAUCCGGAUUUACUGGGUGUAAAGGGGGCGCAGGCGGCGGUGCAAGCCAGAAGUGAAAGCCCGGGGCGCAACCCCGGGACUGCUCUUGGAACUGCGUGGCUGGAGUGCAGGAGGGGCAGGCGGAAUGCCUGGUGUAGCGGUGAAAUGCGUAGAUAUCAGGAAGAACACCGAUGGCGAAGGCAGCCUGCUAGACUGCAACUGACGUUGAGGCCCGAAAGCGUGGGGAGCAAACAGGAUUAGAUACCCUAGUAGUC